rnacentral:lncRNA from 1 species
GAGUUGCUGGGGUUUUCUCAUCAGUAACCCACUUCUUCUUCAUUCUGCAGAGCCCUGAAUUUGUGUAGCAAGUGUAUCUGUACUCAAUCAUACAGGAGGGACCACAGUUGAUCUUAGAGAGUCAUGGACUCCUCAAGGACCAGGCCCUAGACAGUUCUUGUGCCAAAAGAAUGUUCUCAUUGCUUGAGACUUGGCAGUAUCUCUGGGACUGAGUGCUACCUGACAGAGUGCUUCAUGGUUUGCAUUCAAGCACAGUUAUCAACCCGAAAGACACAAGAAAUUCAACUGCUGUUUUUUCCUGAACUCAAAGCUACUUCAUCACUUCUGAAUGGCACAGUGAGCAGAUUUCACCCUGAGCAGGCAGUGUUUCCUCCCUGCAGAGAUUGCGGUGGAACCCUGAACGACUCUGGUGGCACUUUGGGUAACAAGUCAGGAGAUGAGCCUGAAGAUUGCCACUGAGAAAACAGCUGGUUUAAAGUAAUGUAACUGGUCGGGCAGAAAUGAAGAUCUUCUAAAGAGACAUUUGUGACUCUCUAUGUGACGAUCAGACUAGUAAAACAAUGAACCCUAAACAAACGGGAUGUUCCCAAAGAAUCUAAUGCUGGGAGAAAGAAAAGGCCCCAGCCAAGGGAGAAAUUGAACUCCUGGAUAGAGGUUUCAAGUAGUUCAAACAACGCAUCCUCUGACUACCUUACAGGAUAAGACUGGAGCCCAGACAGUGACGGGUGGAUGGCAGGCAGGACCACCCGUUGCCCAGGACUGUUGAGAUGUGCACAUCCUUGGCUCACUAUUUAAACUUUGAUCUCACUUCAGUACCCAAAACUGGGCUUAGGGCAGUUGCUGGAUCUCCCUGGCUCUUCUUCCAACGUGACCAAUGAAUAAAUCUCUCUUUUGUGUUUCCCACUGUUAAUUUAGCUCUUUUAACUAGAUUAUUGAGGACAGGUGGCUGAACCUGGCUUGAGGCAAAGGUGUGACCCUCAAGUUUGAAAACAGUAAAUCCUGUCAAAAUAAAACAAAGCACCUUCUGGUUGAGCCCUGUCAGCUUUCACCCCAACUCCUGUCCCCACUUUUGACACCCACAUGGCCGUUUGACUGAAAUGUCCGGUUUAAGCAUUUCAAUUGUUGUUUAGACAGACAUGGUUUACCAACUACCCCUCCCCCUUUGCAGGAUUCUAAAUAUAUUUUAUUGGUG